rnacentral:rRNA from 1 species
GAAGGAGGGUGCAAGCGUCGUUCGGAAUUACUGGGCGUAAAGCGCGUGUAGGCGGCUUGCUAAGUCUGAUGUGAAAGCCCGGGGCUCACCCCCGGAAGUGCAUUGGAAACUGGCGAGCUCGAGUCCCGGAGAGGAGGGUGGAAUUCCUGGUGUAGCGGUGAAAUGCGUAGAUAUCAGGAGGAACACCGGUGGCGAAGGCGGCCCUCUGGACGGUGACUGACGCUGAGACGCGAAAGCGUGGGGAGCAAACAGG